rnacentral:lncRNA from 1 species
UCAUACUUUGAAUACACAAAUCAAUUUUCAUUCUCAUAGAAAAAAUUGUUUAAUAAAUAAUAGCAAUAAUUCGUUAAAUUAAGUGGAAAUUAUAGGGUUCCCUACAUUAAAAAUCCAAAAUUCAAAAAUGAGGUAGGUAGUUUCAUUGUUCCAAAAUCAGAUGUUUUGCUAAAUAUAUAUACUUCAAAAAACCCUAAUUAUUCCCAUUUUCAUUCCCCCCACCCCGAUUCUCUCUCUCACAUCUCUCUCUCAACUGCCCGGCGAUAGACGAUGGAGGAGUUACACCGUUGCAACGUUGCCAACCAUGCUGUUGUGAAUGUCCCCUUUGCAGAGUCGACGUACUGAUGGCGAGGGUGAAUCUGUGGAUCUGUAGUGUGCGUGCGGUGGUGGUUCAAUGAAUUGAUGUGUGUUAGAUCUGUGGAUUUGUGGUUGGUUUGGUGGUUGUGGAACGGCGGGCGUGGUGGAUACGUGCAACGAUGCGAACUGAUGUGUGUGUGUUGUGCGUGCGAUGGUGGUUUGACGAGCUGGUGUGCGUGUGGAUCUGUGGUGGUUGUGGAGUGGUUUGGGGGUGGGUUUUGUUGGGUGUGGUGGCGGUAGAGGAGGCAGUGCUGGUUGUUGGGGGUGGAUGCCGUGGUUGUGGAAUGAUUUGGGGAUGGUGCUGGCUGCGUUAGCGGUGCUGAAAUUUGUGACCAUGAUUGUGACUCCCAAUUGUGACUUGCAAUUGGAUAGGUAAUCUAAAAAAUUGUGACCGUGACUCACAAUUGAUGAAAUUGUGACCGAAAAAUUAAUCAUGACCAAUAUUCCAAUAAUUUGCAAUAAAAAUAAUAUGUGACCUAAAAGUUUUGGAUUCUGUGACCGAUAAAUAAUUUGUGACCUAUAAAAUUUUUGGAUUUGUUACCGAAAAGAUUUCUGUGACCGAUAAAAUUUUCGAUUAAAUAAGUUGUGACAAAAAAAAUUGAUAAGUUGUAACUAAAAUUUAAUCCGUGAAUAAUUAAUGAGAUAACUGUAACUAAAAACUGUGACCUCAAUAUAUUUAAUUAAUAAAAUAUAUAUUUAAUAAAUUAAUUUAUAAAU